rnacentral:rRNA from 1 species
AGAAUCAACGCUGGCGGCGUGCCUAACACAUGCAAGUCGAACGAGAAAGUGGAGCAAUCCAUGAGUAAAGUGGCGCACGGGUGAGUAACACGUGACUAACCUACCCUUGAGUGGGGGAUAACCUAGAGAAAUCUGGGCUAAUACCGCAUAAUACCUUCGGGUCAAAGGAGCAAUUCGCUUAAGGAGGGGGUCGCGGCCGAUUAGUUAGUUGGCGGGGUAAUGGCCCACCAAGACUGUGAUCGGUAUCCGGCCUGAGAGGGCGCACGGACACACUGGAACUGAAACACGGUCCAGACUCCUACGGGAGGCAGCAGUGGGGAAUUUUGCGCAAUGGGGGAAACCCUGACGCAGCAACGCCGCGUGGAGGAUGAAGCCCCGUUGGGGCGUAAACUCCUUUCGAUCGGGAAGAUAAUGACGGUACCGAGAGAAGAAGCCCCGGCUAACUUCGCGCCAGCAGCCGC